AAAGGGAAUAAUACAGUUAAUGCAGACAGUCAGUCUAUUUGUGGAAAUGUAUUACAGACAAUACAUACAAGAUAGUAAAUAAAUUGUAAUG